rnacentral:rRNA from 1 species
UACAGAGGGUGCGAGCGUUAAUCGGAAUUACUGGGCGUAAAGCGUGCGUAGACGGUUAUUUAAGUCGGGUGUGAAAGCCCCGGGCUCAACCUGGGAAUUGCAUUCGAGACUGAAUAGCUAGGGUACGGUAGAGGGAAGUGGAAUUUCCGGUGUAGUGGUGGAAUGCGUAGAUAUCGGGAGGAACACCAGUGGCGAAGGCGGUUGCCUGGAGCUUUGCUGACGCUGAGGCGCGAAAGCGUGGGGAGCGAUCCGG